GACAGAGGUGCCGAGCGUUAGGCGGAAUCACUGGGCUUAAAGCGUGUGUAGGUGGAUGUCUAAGUACCUUGUGAAAUCCCACGGCUUAACCGUGGAACUGCUCGGUAUACUGGAUGUCUUGAGCCAGGCUAGGGGCUACCGGAACAAAUGGUGGAGCGGUGAAAUGCGUAGAUAUCAUUUGGAACGCCAAUGGUGAAAACAGGUAGCUGGGGCUGUGCUGACACUGAGACACGAAAGCCAGGGGAGCGAACGGG
rnacentral:rRNA from 1 species